GUCUGGACACGACUCCUCACUGCAAGGUCAAAGAUGGCUCCACUCAAAUCACAAACCAUUCCAAGGCUGGAACUGAGUGGAGCACUUCUUCUCACAUCAUUGGCCACUACAGUCCUUCAAGCCUUAUCAAACAACAUUUCUGGCGCCGCUGGCAUCGAGAGUACCUGAAUGAGCUGAACAUCCGAAACAAAUGGAGCAAGGGCAGUCACGACAUCCGAGAAGGCACCGUAGUAGUCCUCAGGGAGGAUAACGUACCAUCCAUGCAAUGGCCUUUGGGCCGCGUGAUCAAGGUCCAUCCAGGAGUCGACUUUUUAUGGGUAGCAACAAUCGUGUGCGUUGAACGAAGCUUUAUUCUGUCGCUCAUUCAAUUUUGCUAUGUUUAUUUUACCAGUUUGAGUUGAAUUCCAGGCAUCAAAAUUUGCCACGGAUUCAAUUAUCAAUUUC
rnacentral:misc_RNA from 1 species